rnacentral:rRNA from 1 species
CAGCAGUGGGGAAUAUUGCACAAUGGGCGCAAGCCUGAUGCAGCCAUGCCGCGUGUGUGAAGAAGGCCUUCGGGUUGUAAAGCACUUUCAGUAGGGAGGAAGGUGGUAGUGUUAAUAGCACUGUCAUUUGACGUUACCUACAGAAGAAGCACCGGCUAACUCCGUGCCAGCAGCCGCGGUAAUACGGAGGGUGCGAGCGUUAAUCGGAAUUACUGGGCGUAAAGCGCAUGCAGGUGGUUUGUUAAGUCAGAUGUGAAAGCCCCGGGCUCAACCUGGGAAUUGCAUUUGAAACUGGCAAACUAGAGUACUGUAGAGGGGGGUAGAAUUUCAGGUGUAGCGGUGAAAUGCGUAGAGAUCUGAAGGAAUACCGGUGGCGAAGGCGGCCCCCUGGACAGAUACUGACACUCAGAUGCGAAAGCGUGGGGAGCAAACAGGAUUAGAUACCCUGGUAGUCCACGCCGUAAACGAUGUCUACUUGGAGGUUGUGGCCUUGAGCCGUGGCUUUCGGAGCUAACGCGUUAAGUAGACCG